rnacentral:rRNA from 1 species
UACAGAGGGUGCAAGCGUUAAUCGGAAUUACUGGGCGUAAAGCGUGCGUAGACGGUUAUCUAAGUCGGAUGUGAAAUCCCCGGGCUCAACCUGGGAAUUGCAUUCGAGACUGAAUAGCUAGGGUGCGGGAGAGGGAAGCGGAAUUUCCGGUGUAGCGGUGAAAUGCGUAGAUAUCGGAGGGAACAUCAGUGGCGAAAGCGGCUUCCUGGUCCAGCACCGACGUUCAGGCACGAAAGCGUGGGGAGCAAACAGG